AUGACUACAAUGGUUUUAAUCUCCAUAAUCAUCAAAAUUAAGAUAACCUGCUUCCAGGCAGCGCUCGCUUCAAUAUGGUGGCCCCCAAGGAGGGGAGCAGCUAAGGGUGUAAACGGUUUUGCAGUUCAGAAACAAAACUGUUGUUGGCUACUGGUCACGCACAAACCUUGUAUAAAAGAUGAUGUGAUUGUAGCUCUGAAGAAAGUGAAUGGUGAUGCCAUUUUGAAAUUUGAACCAUUUAUUCUUCAUGUGCAAUGUCGACAACUGAAGGAUGCACAGCUUCUGCAUUCAGCAGCAAUAGAUUCUGGUUUCAGGAACUCUGGCAUAACAGUGGGAAAGAAAGGAAAGACUAUGAUGGCUGUCCGGAGUACACAUAACUUAGAAGUUCCAUUAAGCCACAAGGGAAAACUGAUGGUGACAGAGGAAUAUAUUGACUUCCUCUUAAAUAUAGCAAAUCAAAAAAUGGAGGAGAACAAGAAGAGAAUUGAAAGGUUUUACAACUGCCUACAACAUGCUUUGGAAAGAGAAACUAUUACUAACUCACAUCCCAAGAUCAAAGAGAAACAUAAUUCAUCAUAUACUCAUAUGAAAAAAAGAAACCCAAAGAAAACACGUGGCAAGUGUAUUACUGACAAAAACGAUGAAGACACUAACAAUGAUGAUGAUGAUCCUGGAAUCAGUGUUAAUAUCUUCCCUGAAGAAUAUUGAGAUUUGCUUCUGAAGUAUCUUGUUGGAGAAAUAUUUCUAGCAGAUAUCAUAAAGCUGCUCUUU